AACGAACGCUGGCGGCAUGCCUAACACAUGCAAGUCGAACGAGACCUUCGGGUCUAGUGGCGCACGGGUGCGUAACGCGUGGGAACCUGCCCUUAUGGUCGGAAUAACUCUCCGAAUGGGGUGCUAAUACCGGAUAAUGUCUUCGGACCAAUGAUUUAUCGCCUCUGGAUGGGCCCGCGUUGGAUUAGCUAGUUGGUAAGGUAAAAGCUUACUAAGGCGACGAUGCAUAGCUGGUCUGAGAGGGUGCUCAGCCACACUGGAACUGAGACACGGCCCAGACUCCGAAGGGAGGCAGCAGUAGGGAAUCUUCCGCAAGGGGCGAAAGCCUGACGGAGCAACGCCGCGUGAGUGAUGAAGGUCCUCGGAUCGUAAAACGCUGUUAGUAGGGAAGAACAAAUGUGUAAGUAACUAUGCACGUCUUGACGGUACCUAAUCAGAAAGCCACGGCUAACUACGUG
rnacentral:rRNA from 1 species